UUUAUGGAGAGUUUGAUCCUGGCUCAGGAUGAACGCUGGCGGCGUGCCUAAUACAUGCAAGUCGAGCGAACUGACGAGGAGCUUGCUCCUUUGACGUUAGCGGCGGACGGGUGAGUAACACGUGGGUAACCUACCUAUAAGACUGGAAUAACUCCGGGGAAA
rnacentral:rRNA from 1 species